GUGAAAGCUUAUCCCAGCUGCCAAUGGGCAAACCAUGGGGUACUUUGCCACUUACUCACUCCUCGGCUCAGUUUAGAAUGAAUCUAACAUGCAUGAUUUUGGACUGGGAGAGGAAGCCACAGCACGAGGAGCAAACCCACACAGGCAGAGGUAGAAUAUGCAAUUUCUACAGAAAGGCCCCCAUCUGGGAUUUGAACUAUGAACCUUCCUGCUUUGAGGCGAUGAGGCCAACCACUGAAGCAACAUGCAAUCACCAUAACACCAAAAUCACAAGUUCGAGUGGAGGCAGGAAGUUGGCCUACAGGCCCACAGAGCAGAGGAGGACACCAGAGGAAACUUCUGCUCCAAAGUCAACAGGAGGUCAUGCUUCAGGAAAAGCACUGCUACCGAUUUGUUCUUAAUUAAUAGACCCUACUCAGCUGGGAACCAUCUGAGUGCCAAAACAUUGAUGAGUUGAAAAAAAAAAAGCAAAACAAACAAA